rnacentral:rRNA from 1 species
UACGGAGGGUGCGAGCGUUGUCCGGAAUCACUGGGCGUAAAGGGCGCGUAGGCGGCUUGGGAAGUCCGUGGUGAAAGCUCGUCGCUCAACGACGAGUCGGCCAAGGAUACUCCUAAGCUCGAGUCGACUAGAGGCAGAUGGAAUUCCGGGUGUAGCGGUGGAAUGCGUAGAGAUCCGGAAGAACACCGGUGGCGAAGGCGGUCUGCUGGGGUCGAACUGACGCUGAUGCGCGACAGCGUGGGGAGCAAACAGG